rnacentral:rRNA from 1 species
CCCUACGGGAGGCAGCAGUGGGGAAUUUGCCCAAUGGGGGCAACCUUGACGCAGCCAUGCCGCGUGGUGAAGAAGGGCCUUCGGGUGGUAAACUCUUCGGGAGGAGGAGAGGACUGAGAUUAAUAAUCUUAGAUGAUUGACGUACUCGCAGAGAGCCAGUACCCCC